rnacentral:rRNA from 1 species
UGUAAGCGUAUACCAAAGUUGUUGCAGUUAAAACGCUCGUAGUCGGAAUUUGGCAGUUCCGGAAGUGUGCACGUCGUGUGCGCACUUUGCGGGGACUGCUUUUGUGGUCUUGCGUAGGAUGAGGCACUUUCAUUAGUGAACGUCCUCACGCAACCACUCUUUACUGUGAGAAAAUCAGAGUGCUCAAGCAGGCAUUUGCCGUGAAUGUAUUAGCAUGGAAUAAUAGAAUAGGACUCGGUUCUAUUUUGUUGGUUUGUUGGGACUGAGUAAUGAUUAAGAGGGACAGUUGGGGGCAUUUGUAUUCCGGCGCUAGAGGUGAAAUUCUUAGAUUGCCGGAAGACAAACUGCUGCGAAAGCGUCUGCCAAGGAUGUUUUCAUUGA